rnacentral:rRNA from 1 species
AGCGAACGCUGGCGGCAGGCCUAACACAUGCAAGUCGAACGGACCCUUCGGGGUUAGUGGCGGACGGGUGAGUAACACGUGGGAACGUGCCUUUAGGUUCGGAAUAGCUCCUGGAAACGGGUGGUAAUGCCGAAUGUGCCCUUCGGGGGAAAGAUUUAUCGCCUUUAGAGCGGCCCGCGUCUGAUUAGCUAGUUGGUGAGGUAAUGGCUCACCAAGGCGACGAUCAGUAGCUGGUCUGAGAGGAUGACCAGCCACAUUGGGACUGAGACACGGCCCAAACUCCUACGGGAGGCGGCAGUGGGGAAUCUUGCGCAAUGGGCGAAAGCCUGACGCAGCCAUGCCGCGUGGAUGAUGAAGGUCUUAGGAUUGUAAAAUUCUUUCACCGGGGACAAUAAUGACGGUACCCGGAGAAGAAGCCCCGGCUAACUUCGUGCCAGCCGCCGCCGUAAGAC